AGCAGAGUGGCGCAGUGGAAGCGUGCUGGGCCCAUAACCCAGAGGCAGUCCGUAAGUCACGAAACCACGCCUCCGUUA